rnacentral:rRNA from 1 species
AACGAACGCUGGCGGCGUGGAUAAGACAUGCAAGUCGAACGCUAAUUACAGUGCAGCAAUGUAUAGUGGUUGGAGUGGCGCAAGGGUGCGUAACACGUGGGUAAUUUGCCGUGAAGAUGGGGGAUAACCCCGAGAAAUCGGGGCUAAUACCGGAUAUGAAAAUUGGGAGGCAUCUUUGAUUUCAAAGUUGGGGACCGUAAGGCCUGACGCUUCACGAUAAGCCCGCGGCCUAUCAGCUAGUUGGUGAGGUAACGGCUCACCAAGGCAAAGACGGUAGCUGGUCUGAGAGGACGACCAGUCACACUGGAACUGAGAGACGGGUCCAGACACCUAC